AGCGUGGAGACAGGUGGUGCAUGGCUGUCGUCAGCUCGUGUCGUGAGAUGUUGGGUUAAGUCCCGCAACGAGCGCAACCCUCACCCCUUGUUGCCAUCAGGUCAUGCUGGGGACUCUAGGGGAACUGCCCCGGUCAACGGGGAGGAAGGCGGGGAUGACGUCAAGUCAUCAUGCCCCUUACGCCCUGGGCUACACACGUGCUACAAUGGCCGGUACAAAGGGAUGCGAGACCGCGAGGUGUAGCCAAACCCAAAAAGCCGGUCUAAGUUCAGAUUGGAGUCUGCAACUCGACUCCAUGAAGGAGGAAUCGCUAGUAAUCGCCCAUCAGCACGGGGCGGUGAAUACGUUCCCGGGCCUUGUACACACCGCCCGUCACACCACGAAAGUCUGCUGUACUCGAAGUCGCUGAG
rnacentral:rRNA from 1 species